rnacentral:ncRNA from 1 species
GAACUGAAGAGUUUGAUCAUGGCUCAGAUUGAACGCUGGCGGCAGGCCUAACACAUGCAAGUCGAGCGGAUGACGGGAGCUUGCUCCUUGAUUCAGCGGCGGACGGGUGAGUAAUGCCUAGGAAUCUGCCUGGUAGUGGGGGACAACGUUUCGAAAGGAACGCUAAUACCGCAUACGUCCUACGGGAGAAAGCAGGGGACCUUCGGGCCUUGCGCUAUCAGAUGAGCCUAGGUCGGAUUAGCUAGUUGGUGAGGUAAUGGCUCACCAAGGCGACGAUCCGUAACUGGUCUGAGAGGAUGAUCAGUCACACUGGAACUGAGACACGGUCCAGACU